GUUGCGCCUGAACCCCCCUCCCCCGGUUGGGGAAAGUGAGAGGCUUCAAGUCACAGGAACAGUUAAAGCUUCAGCUUCAUUUUCCCAACUUGCCUUCCUGCACCUCCUGCAGAACUACAUUUCCCAGCUGCCCCCCUUGCCCAUACCUGUGUCACUCUGCCAGUACUGGCUAACUGAAAUGACAUGGCUGCAGCACGACCCAUCUUGGUGAAUUAGCAGGCCCAACUUUAUUGUUGGCGGCAACCACUGGCAGUCCAGCUGGCGCUGAUUUUCUGCUUUAAGGCUAGUGAGUACAAACAGCUAAGUUUAACAGUAGGAUGUAGAAGUGAUUUAUCAUCAACCACACACAUUUACGUCUGGUGUACAUGUACGCCAAGAAAUGAUAUGCUUAACCACCAUGCCACAAGUCUGGACAGUUUGCUUUUGAGUCAACACCCAAAAAAAUGAGCACUGCAUGACGGUCUGACUUCAUUUGCCAAGAUGUGUUUCCUUUCUGGCCAAAGAUAUCGUAUUUGCAGUUCAUUAAACUCACAGAGCCCCA